AGAAAUUCUUUCUCCAUAUGUCCCAGCCUACCUCCCCUUUACCGAGGCCAACAGCCACCGCAGAAACCAGAUUCAGGAGCUAAAAUGCCCCAAGUCUCACCUUGAAGGUGAGGAUCAGAGCCUCGAGAGGCCAGAAAAGGAAGUCGAGAUAGUCAAGCGGGCCAUCUCAGAUCUGGUCAUGCUGGAGCUGUACAAAUGCCUCUCAUGGAGAUGUGAUGACCUAUCUAUUAUGACCAGGGUCACAUCUGGGGAGGGCAACAGACUUUCAUCUAUCAGCCCUUUUCAACCACUGAUAUACUAAACUGGAAACACUCUGAACCCCACCACCUUGCUCCUGGUAUCAGAGAGCCCUGUUGUGCAUAACUAUGUAGAAGUGUUGGACUCAGUUUACUGCAGGAGACCUGACCUCCGGGACCAGCCUUGGGCAUCAGUAGACUGGAAGCUAUAUGUGGACAGGAGCAGCUUCAUCAACCCACAAGGAGAGAGAUGUGCGGGGUAUGUGGUGGUAACCCUGGACACUGUUGUUGAAACCAGAUCGUUGCCCCAAGGCACUUCAGCCCAGAAAGCCGAGCUCAUUGCUUUAAUUCGGGCCUUAGAACUCAGUGAAGGCUUUCUAUGGUCCGGUGCAUACACUGAAGGGCCACGAAGUACAGUCAUCCCCACUUGGCACCGGGAAUACAAGGGUGGAAAGCAUCAUUUCUGCCAGCUUCUUAUGGCCCUGAAGUGAGACAGUCACGCGAAAGGAAAACUGCAAUGACUUCUGACCACUGCCAGCCUCGCUUCCUGCAUUUUCUUCUUCGGCUUACUCUUGCCAAGUUGGAGUUGCCUAACUUCCAAGAGGUUAUUUGCUCUUUUUUUUUUCUCACUCCACAAACUCUUCCCAGGUAGUUCAGUCCACUCCCUUCUCCCAGUCGCUGUAUGCCAAUGAAUGCCAGUAUUAAUCUUUCCAGCUUAGACAUUGUUCUUGGAUUGCAGACGUGAGGUUUCACUUGUUUACUAGACAUUGCUGACUGAGGAUCCCUAGCAUAACAUGGCCCAAGUUCAAUGUAUUUGCAAAACUGUUUCAUCUCCUUUAUUCUCUGUAAUGAUGUUGCUAUCCAUUCGGUCAACAUACUCAGAAAUAUCACCCCUUCCUUCCUUCUUCCAGGAUGAGUUGCUCAUGACAUGACCAUGUUUUGGCAGUGUACUCUUUCUCCAUUCCCAUCACUUAGUAAGAAUCAUCUAGGUUAUGCUGAAGUACAAAGUUAAUCUCCAAAUUUCUCUGGCUCAGUACAGAAAAAGUCCAUUUUUGCCUUCUGCGAUGCACCCAGUGCAGGUCUGCAGGGUCUCUGCUGCACGUUGUUCCCCAGGGACUCAGGCUGAAGAGGCCCCCUUGUCUUAUCUGGCCACCUCCUCUGCACACGGUUCAGGAUUUUCCAGGCAAGGAGUUGAGCAGGGGCUUUUCAGUGCUGGGCCUGGAUGUGACGUAAGAUGCUUCUGCUCACAGCUUCGUAGUCACAACAAGUUACAUCAUCCUUCCUAAUUGCAGGGAUGCUGGGCAGCGUAGUCAUCCACAGAUCAGGAGAGGGAUCAGAGGUAGGUGUUCCCGGGCUGCAGUGAUCUCCACCGCACUGCUGUGGGCUGAACUGUGCCCUCCACCCCACCAAGCUUAUAUGCUGCCAGCCUCACCCUCUGUGCUUUAGAAUGUGGCUGUAUCUCGAGAUAGGGUCCUUACAGAGCUAGUUAAGUUAAAGCAGGGUCAUUAGGGUGGGCCCUAAGCUACUCUGACUGGUGUUUUUAUGAGAAGAGAGAUUAGGACUUAUAGGGAGAGACACUAGGGAUGUGAGCACACAGAGAAAAGACAGUGUGAAGACAUCAAGAAGGUAGCCAUCUCCAAUCCAGAGGGAGAUGCCAGGCACAGCCCUUCCCUCAAAACCCUCGGAAGGAACCAACCCUGCCGACACCUUGGCCUUGUAUUUCUGGCCUCCAGAACCGCAGGAAAGUACCAUUCUGUUGCUUAGGCCGCCCAGCCUGUGGUACUUUGUUAUAGCUUCUCACCCAGUUCAGGCCCUUUUAAUUGAUUGCUGGGCCUUUGCAGUUGUUUUUGCUUGUAAUAUAUUCUUCUCUCAAAUUAUUUCUGGAGGCUGCCACCAGAGGGCAGAACUUCAAUUGGGUCCCUAAUCAGAAACCUUGCUGGGAUCAUGUGGUCUACAGCACAGGGUUGCUAAAGCAUCUUCCGCCAGAAUUCUGUGAGUAUCUGGUUAGGUGGGUCUGGAAAAUACUGAGUUUAAAAAUGUUAUAUAGGUUUCUUUACGGCAAGACGUUUCAGAACCUUUAAUAUGCUACUCUGCUGUAUGAAUCUCCAGGCAGGAAAUCUUAUAAAAUGUGUUUCUGAAAUGAAUUUGCACACAAGAUCCUGUUUUCUUGAAGCCUCUGGUACUGGGUGAAAUGCCCAAUCUCUAGUGGGACUUGCAGGACUUUGCAAU